AUACGGAGGGUGCAAGCGUUGUUCGGAAUCACUGGGCGUAAAGGGCGCGCAGGCGGCUUGGUAAGUCAGAUGUGAAAGCCCAUGGCUCAACCAUGGAAGUGCAUUUGAAACUGUCAGACUUGAGUACUAGAGGGGAAAGUGGAAUUCCCGGUGUAGAGGUGAAAUUCGUAGAUAUCGGGAGGAAUACCGGUGGGGAAGGCGACUUUCUGGCUAGAUACUGACGCUGAGGCGCGAAAGCGUGGGGAGCAAACAGGAUUAGAAACCCGAGUAGUCC
rnacentral:rRNA from 1 species